rnacentral:tRNA from 1 species
AGUUAAAAAGAGCAAAGGCCGCUCGUUAGGCUCAUGUCCUAAAGGUUGUUGGUUCGAAUCCAGCUUUAACUA